AGUGUUACUUUUGCUUCCUUUCUCCCCCCCCCCGCAAAAAUUAUUACCUUAUUUCCUUGCUAAUGAUGCACACCCAACUUCCAGCAGCUACAUUUUUGAAAAAGGUAUGUGAGAAAAUAUGGUAAUUAAAAAACAGAAAUGCAGUUGCUCUCAACAGUGCUGUAAACUUGCAGCUGUCAUAGCUUUCAUGGGAGCUACUGCGGUUACUACUCAGGCCCAUCAGACACCACAGAUUGAAGUGCCUGAGACGAUCACUAAGGAUACAGACAAACAAGUCAAGGAGUAGGAAGGGAGUGGGAAAUUUCAACACUACAAACUGGAACAAGCAAGUUCUUCUAGGUCUGGAGACAUUAAUAUUAGUUGACAACUUCCCUCUUUAGGAAGAGAGAGAGGGAGAGAGUUGGCUGUGUGAGUCUGAAGUCAUGCAGCAGGUAGUCUGUAAAGUCCAAGUCUACCCUAAUUAAAUCAGAGAUGCAUAGCAUAAGCUUUCAUGAGCCCCAGCUUGCUUCUUCAGAUGCUGUGAUCAGAUCAGGCUCACAAAAGCUUAUGUUAUACCUCUCUGAUGUAUUUAAUCCAUAACAUACAAAUGUACUCUGCCUUCCAAAAUUCAUGUUGGAAGAAAGAAAGCUAGCUUGGGCUAACUACCCCUCUCUGCUCACUCAUGGCAUCGCACUCGGCCUCUUCAUGAAGGUGUGUACCUGAGUGAAGUGGGGGGAAAAGGACAUUACUUCUGCUGGUUUAAUAACAAAGGGGCUGGGCUAUACCUAAGGGCUGCUGUUUAAGUUUCUUUAUAACACAAAGGCAAAGAUACAAACAUCUCUUAGGAUGGCUGUGCUACAUUUCUGCCAGACAGGAUUGUUGGUUUUGGGGUGGAUCUGCAAGCACCAGAGACCAGGCAUCAGACCGAGAAGAGUUAAUUCAUGUUUUCAAAAGGAUCUGACAGCUGACCAUAGCUAAUUAGAGGGAUAAAGGGAAAAGGAAGAAAUUCCACUUUCCAUCAACUCUGUCAUUGGAUUUUAUCCUAGUUAAUUUAAUUAGAUUUGUGCAAGAUAAAAUUUCCACUUUAAAACAAAAAUCACAACAUUUACACACACCGUUGCAUGAUAUACAAUAUACAGCUAACAUUUAUAUACAGGUUAUUUAUUAGCAGCUAUACUCUAAAUUCACAUAGUCCAUGGCUUUACUUGCUACAGUUUCAGGCACAGUGGAAGGUUUUUCCAAGUGGGACAGCUGGGAGGUGGGUGAACCACAAUAAAUACUUUGUGCUGGAUCCUCAGUUUGGCGCGUCUAAAUGCAAAUCUACCAACUGAAGAUUCAACAGAAAAUAAAAAAUGGGGCAUAUAAUUCAGCUAAUACUCAAAAACUAUACAACUUUUGUAUUAAACACCAAAUUCAUCCUUCAAUGGUGUGUAAAGGUACUGAAAUCAAGUCCAUCCCAAGUUACUUUUUCUCUAAACCAUCUCAGUUGUAAACUAAAAUAAAAAAAAAAAAAAUCCCAAACCACCACAUGAUCAAUGUUUGCUACUGUUGAGAUAAUGGAUCACAUGUGACUAUAGGUCCACAGGAGUCUGCAUUUGUAUUUAAUAUUCCUUUAAUCAAACUGAGAAGUUCAAUGUACAGAAAGGUGUGAACACUCGUGUUUAUUUUACUUAGAGGAAAAUAAGUGUUCGAACAGUGAAGGUGAGUUAUGACACAUUAGCAAUACGGUACUUUUACUUCGCCGAAUUCAGAAGAGCCCUUAAGCGUGCAGUUCAAAAGCCGCAAGCACGCGCAUAAGUUCUCCUGACGUGGGACCCGGGCUCAGCUCUAGCAGAGACUGUAAAUACGUGUUUAACGUUCAACAUGCAGGUAGGCACACAUACUUGGGGACUUUGCUAGCCUGAGGAAUGGUCACAUUUUUUAUUUUAAAUUACUGAACACUUGCAUACAGCAUAUCUGUUACAUCCAAGGAUGUGAUCAUUUAUCCUUUUUGAGUGAAAAUAUAAAGUCUGAAAAGAAUCCCUCAGUUAAAUAAGAAAAGCAGCCUGAGUCCAUAGGCAAUGCAAUCAUUUAAAAAA